rnacentral:misc_RNA from 1 species
AGUCGAACAAAAUUUAUUUAUUUUUUCGACAAAUUUAAUUGAAAUGAUUUAAUUUAAUCCAAAAAAUAUAUUAAAAAAA